GGCUACCAGGCGCUGCCAGAGUCCACUUCCGCUCUGGACCCCGCGCCCGUAGGAACAACUUCGGGGGCGGGGCAAGCGAGUGGGAGGGACAUCCGGGGCUCUCCGAGGGAGAAGGCAUUCAUUUUAUCCAUUCUGAAUUCUUGAAGAUAAGCAUCACUGACUAGUGAGAAAAUUAAAUGAGAAAGAGAGAAGAAGGAGCAGGAGGAGGAAGAGAGGAGAUAGUCAAGAAACAGGUGUUGGAUGGAUCAGUAAAUGGAUGGGUGGGUAAUUUCCAGAUGCUACUACCAUGAUUACCAACCAGACUUCCCUGGGCAGAUGACCCCACCAAUGUGUCCUGGAGC